GGGGGGGCAAAAUGCAGGUCGAGCGAGCUUGCCUAGAUGAUCUUAGUGCUUGCACUAAAUGAAACUAGAUACAAGCGACGCGUCAGACGGGUGAGUAACACGUGGGUAACCUGCCCAAGCCACUGGGAUAACACCUGGAAACAGAUGCUAAUACCGGAUAACAACACUAGACGCAUGUCUAGAGUUUGAAAGAUGGUUCUGCUAUCACCCUUGGAUGGACCUGCGGUGCAUUAGCUAGUUGGUAAGGUAACGGCUUACCAAGGCAAUGAUGCAUAGCCGAGUUGAGAGACUGAUCGGCCACAUUGGGACUGAGACACGGCCCAAACUCCUACGGGAGGCAGCAGUAGGGAAUCUUCCACAAUGGACGAAAGUCUGAUGGAGCAACGCCGCGUGAGUGAAGAAGGGUUUCGGCUCGUAAAGCUCUGUUGGUAGUGAAGAAAGAUAGAGGUAGUAACUGGCCUUUAUUUGACGGUAAUUACUUAGAAAGUCACGGCUAACUACGUGCCAGCAGCCGCGGUAAUACGUAGGUGGCAAGCGUUGUCCGGAUUUAUUGGGCGUAAAGCGAGUGCAGGCGGUUCAAUAAGUCUGAUGUGAAAGCCUUCGGCUCAACCGGAGAAUUGCAUCAGAAACUGUUGAACUUGAGUGCAGAAGAGGAGAGUGGAACUCCAUGUGUAGCGGUGGAAUGCGUAGAUAUAUGGAAGAACACCAGUGGCGAAGGCGGCUCUCUGGUCUGCAACUGACGCUGAGGCU
rnacentral:rRNA from 1 species